AGCAAAUACAGAGAGAGUGUGAGACACUUAAACACUACUGAAAACAUUGCAUAAGCUUGCAAAUGGAUGGAAAUUUAAAAUAGUUUGAUUUGAGUGUGCCAGCUAAAGUACUUGACCUGGAAAUCCUGGAAAGAGACUGUCAGAGAUCCUAACAUAGAAGACCCACAGUAGAAACAAAAAGUGUACCCAGGAGGUACACUUCUGGCUGCUUGUGUGACUUGUAGAAAAGAAGGAGUUCAUGCUAACUGAGGUGUCUGAAUAAAAUGCAGAGGGAUUGAUCAGGGAGUUGGAGCCCCUUUCACAUCAAAGUAAACUUUUUAAUUAAUCCAACUCAGAAGGCAUCCAGGGAGAGAGGAGAGAGAUAACAAGGGAGGGUAAAAUCUGUGGCAGAAGUUAUUUCUGUUCAUUGACUGGAUGAAAUAAAGGCUGAA
ensembl:lncRNA